rnacentral:lncRNA from 1 species
UGACUCCUGCCUGCUACAUUUCCCCAGAUACCCAGGACCUUCAUGCUGUCACUCUCCAUGACCUGACCAACAUCUAUUUUGAGAAAUUAUUUUAUAUACUCAUUCAAACAGGUUACUUAUUGGUUAUUUAGAAAUUCUGGAUAAAGACUCACAAGUCAAGCGGGGGUGAUGGAAGAUAUUGAAAUGUCUCCCCGUGGCAUAUUCAGUGAAGAAAGUCACUACAUGUUGACAGAUUCCAGUAACCAUUGCUGUGCUGUAAAAAUUGGUUUCACUUACCUAGAAAAGGAAAACAAG